CGACCCCAGGUCAGUCGGGACCACCCGCUGAGUUUAAGCAUAUAAAUAAGCGGAGGAGAAGAAACUUACAAGGAUUCCCCUAGUAACGGCGAGCGAACCGGGACCAGCCCAGCUUGAGAAUCGGGUGGCUUCGUCACCUGAAUUGUAGUCUGGAGAGGCGUCCUCAGCGACGGACCGGGCCCAAGUUCCCUGGAAAGGGACGCCUGGGAGGGUGAGAGCCCCGUCCGGCCCGGACCCUGCCGCACCACGAGGCGCCGUCAACGAGUCGGGUUGUUUGGGAAUGCAGCCCAAAUCGGGCGGUAAACUCCGUCCAAGGCUAAAUACAGGCGAGAGACCGAUAGCGAACAAGUACCGUGAGGGAAAGAUGAAAAGGACUUUGAAAAGAGAGUCAAAGAGUGCUUGAAAUUGCCGGGAGGGAAGCGGAUGGGGGCUGGCGAUGCGCCCCGGUCGUAUGCGGAACGGCUUCUGCUGGUCCGCCGAUCGGCUCGGGGCGUGGACUGUUGUCGGCCGUGCCGGCGGCCUAAGCCCGGGGGCCCUAGGUGCCUCCGGUCGCCGUCGUCGGCACGGCCGGUCUCCGCGCGCCGCAAGGCGCGCCCCUCGGGGCGCUGCGCUGCAACGGCCUGCGAGCUCCCCAUCCGACCCGUCUUGAAACACGGACCAAGGAGUCUGACAUGCGUGCGAGUCGACGGGUUCUGAAACCUGGGAUGCGCAAGGAAGCUGACGAGCGGGAGGCCUUCACGGGCUGCACCGCUGGCCGACCCUGAUCUUCUGUGAAGGGUUCGAGUUGGAGCACGCCUGUCGGGACCCGAAAGAUGGUGAACUAUGCCUGAGCGGGGCGAAGCCAGAGGAAACUCUGGUGGAGGCUCGAAGCGAUACUGACGUGCAAAUCGUUCGUCUGACUUGGGUAUAGGGGCGAAAGACUAAUCGAACCAUCUAGUAGCUGGUUCCCUCCGAAGUUUCCCUCAGGAUAGCUGGAGCCCAUUACGAGUUCUAUCGGGUAAAGCCAAUGAUUAGAGGCAUCGGGGGCGCAACGCCCUCGACCUAUUCUCAAACUUUAAAUAGGUAGGACGGCACGGCUGCUCCGGUGAGCCGUGCCAUGGAAUCGGGAGCUCCAAGUGGGCCAUUUUUGGUAAGCAGAACUGGCGAUGCGGGAUGAACCGGAAGCCGGGUUACGGUGCCAAACUGCGCGCUACCUAGAACCCACGGGCACAGGCAAGUUUGUUGUACCAGAAGUGUCGACUGCCGUCUGGAGGAAACGGGAGACCCUUU
rnacentral:ncRNA from 1 species